GAUGAACGCUGGCGGCGUGCCUAAUACAUGCAAGUCGAGCGAAGCGACGAUGAGCCUUCUGCUCUGACGUUAGCGGCGGACGGGUGAGUAACAAGUGGAUACGCGAACUAUAAGAAUUGGGUAACCUCGGGAAAUCGGAGCUAAUACCGGAUAAUAUAUUGUAACGCAUGGUUCAAUAGUGAAAGACGGUUUUGCUGUCUCUUAUAGAUGGAUCCGCGCCGCAUUAGCUAGUUGGUAAGGUAACGGGUUACCAAGGCAACGAUGCGUAGCCGACCUGAGAGGGUGAUCGGCCGCGCUGCAGCUGAGACACGGUCCAGACUCCUACGGGAGGCAGCAGUAGGGAAUCUGCCGCAAUGGGCGGAAGCCUGACGGAGCAACGCCGCGUGAGUGAUGAAGGUCUUCGGAGCGGAAGACUCUGUUAUGAGGGAAGAACAAUUGUGUAAGUAGCUAUGCACGGCUUGACGGUACCGAGUCAGAAACCCACGGCUAACUACGAG
rnacentral:rRNA from 1 species